AGCGAUCUCCAUCUGUGGUUCUGGCCUCUAAACUUUUUCCAUCUCUAACUGCCACUGGUUUUGCUGCUAUACUUUUCAAUUUUUUUCUUGAAGAGAAGAUCAAGUGAGAUCAAAUGGAGGGGAGUGCCAAAAAAAGACGCAUCUGUGAAAAUGAUGGAACAGCAGGAGGCGCUUCUUCUACUCACACUUCAACAGAAGGUCAAGGAAUGGAUACUUCGUCAGGAUAUGACUAUGAAGUAUUCUUGAGCUUUAGAGGACCAGAUACUCGAGCAGGUUUUACCGACUUCCUUUACACUAGUCUUAAAGAUGCAGGAAUCCGUGCGUUUAAGGAUGACGAAGAUCUCCGCAAGGGGGAAGAGUUUGCCCCAGAACUUCUCCAAGCAAUUAAUCAGUCGAAGAUCUCAAUACCUAUCUUUUCGAAAGGUUAUGCCUCUAGUGUAUGGUGUCUCAAGGAGGUAGUCCAGAUGGUCCAAUGCCAGAAAAAGAGUGGACAAAAGAUCAUGCCCAUUUUCUAUGAUGUGGCACCUUCAGAGGUUCGAUACCAAACAGAGGGUUAUGCAAAGGCCUUUCUUGCACAUGAAAACAAGAAGCGACACGACGAAAAGACUAUGCAAGAGUGGAAGGAUGCUCUCAGUGCAGUUGGGGCAAUAAACGGAUGGGACCUGCAUAGCGAGAAGAACAGGCGAGAAGGCGAGUUUGCAAAAAAACUCACCAAGGAGGUUUUCAAAGAAUUGAAAAAGGCUUAUUUGGUGGUAUCAGAUUGCUUGGUCAGUGUUGACAACCAUGUGGAUGCAAUCAUGGAAAUGAUUGGUGCUGAGACAAGUGAAACACGGAUUAUAGGAAUCCAUGGAAUGGGUGGCAUCGGAAAGACGACUAUUGCCAAAAUCAUCUACAAUCAGCUUUCAAAAAAUUUUGAGGGUUGUUGCUUCCUUUCUAACGUCCGUGAAACGUCAAAACUCGAGGGCAUUCACCGCUUGCAACAUCAGCUCAUCUUUGACAUCCUCAACACGAAAUGGGCAGAUAUAAGAAAUAUUGAUGAAGGGAUUAAGACCAUUAAAGACAGGUUGUCUAAUAAAAGAGUCCUCCUUCUUCUCGAUGAUGUGGAAGAAAAGGAUCAUAUGAAUGCACUUGUAGGAAAACGUGAUUGGUUUGGUAGAGGGAGCAAACUCAUUAUUACUACAAGAAAGAAGGAUGUUCUCAUUGUUCCGGAAGUGGACUGCACUUAUGAGGUCAAUGGCAUGGAUGACUAUCAAUCUCUUGAGCUCUUUAGCAAACAUGCUUUCAGAAGAGACUCUCCUUUGAUUGAGUAUAUUGACCAAUCCAAGAGGGCAAUAGACAUUGCUAGAGGUCUUCCGCUAGCUCUUGAGGUCAUAGGUUCACUUUUAUCUCGCACUGAAAAGAAAAGGUGGGAUGACAUAUUGGAGAAGUUGGAAAAUAUUCCUCCCUUGGAAGUUCAGAGUAAGCUAAAAAUAAGUUUUGAUGCGUUAGAAGUUCAACAACAGCAUAUGUUCCUCGAUAUAGCUUGCCUUUUCAUUGGAUAUGACAAAGACAUUGUGGUUUAUUUUUGGGAAAAAUCUAAAUUUUUUCCGAAAGAAACUAUAGAAGUUUUGCAGAACAUGUCUUUGAUAAAGAUUGUAGAGUAUAAUAAAGUGUGGAUGCAUGACCAACUCAGAGACCUCGGAAGAGAAAUAGUUCGUCAAGAAAGUAAGAUGAAAAUAGAGAAGCAACGGAGGGUGUGGGAUCCCAAGGAAGCAUUGGAUUUGCUGAGGAGACAUGAGGGAAAAACAAAAGUUGAAGCUCUUCGUCUCCGCUUUGACCGUGAGCGGCGAUACUAUUUUACUUGUGAGGACUUUAAGAGAAUAUCAAAUUUGCGGUUUCUUCAAGUUAACGGUCCGAAGGAAUAUUUUCGCGCAGAAGAGAGGCUUCUUUGGCACGAAUUGCCAUCAAAUGUUCUUCCAACUAAUGUUUUUCAGGAGAAUUUAGAUCUCCUUCCACAUUUACGUUGGCUUUCUUGGCACGGUAUUCCCCCAACAUUUAAGAUUGCAAAUUUCUCUAUGGAGAAUGUGGUUGUUCUUGAUCUAUCCUGGAGUAAGAUUACGCAUGAUUGGCAGGGGUGGAGCCAUAUGGAGGUGAUGAAGAAUUUGAAAAUUUUGAAAUUGACCGGAUGCAAUUGCUUGGAGAGAACUCCCAUCUUCUCUGCUGAGGUAAAUUUAGAACGAUUGAUCCUAGCGAGCUGUGAAUCAUUAACUGAAAUUGAUAGGUCGAUUUGUCAUUUGAAAAGCCUAGUUUCCUUAGAUUUAAGUCAUUGUUCCUAUCUUCGGAGGCUACCAGACGAGCUGGGUAGAGAUCUUGCGAGCCUUGAAUACCUAUCUCUAGUAUGUUGCACAUCGUUCAAGAGGCUUCCGGAUACAAUUGGAAACUUGGAAUCGCUGAUUGAGUUGGAUAUAUCCCAAAUGAGGAUUAAAGAACUACCCGAUUCCGUCAGAAAGUUGAAAAAUUUGAAAUUAGUAAGGAUGUUUUGGACUGCAAUGAGCAAAAUACCUAAUGCCCUUUGGAUGAUUGAGAAGCUCGAAAAAAUAGAUGCUGAAUUUAGUGGUUUGAAAGUGGAAGUGGAAAUUGGCAAUUGCAUCUACAGAAAUCAAUCCCUAAGGAUCUUGAGAUUGGUGAAUGUUAGAAUAAACGUAGUACCGAGGCUUCCUGAAAGUCUUAUCCAUCUAUGGUUGUGUGCAUUGCACAUGGAUACGUUUCCAGAUCUCUCAAACCUGACUAAUUUAGAGAAAUUGUCACUGACCUUUGGCCCACGCGAUGACGCUGGGGAAUCUAAUGGGCCUGUGGAAGAAUAUCUGAUGCCACGGUGGAUUGGGAAUUUAAGCAAACUGCAGACUCUGUUCCUAAACUCUUGUCAUUUUGUGACCCACUUACCCAUGGAUUUUAGUAGUCUCCUUCCUCGACUCCAAUACCUUACACUCCGAUGCCCUAAUCUGCGUUGCCUCCCGAGCCUUCCCUCCAGUUUAUUAUCCUUGGAUUUGCACUCUGAACACAUGACCGCCUUACCCACAGAUAUUAGUAGUCUCCUUCCCCGACUCCAAACACUUGCACUCGAAUGCCGUAAUCUGCGUUGCCUCCCAAGCCUUCCCUCCAGUUUGUUAUCCUUGGGUUUGGGCUUUCAACACAUGACCGCCUUACCCACAGAUAUUAGUAGUCUCCUUCCCCGACUCCAACUACUUCAACUCCUAUGGCCUAAUCUGCGUUGCCUCCCGAGCCUUCCCUCCAGUUUAUCAACCUUAUAUUUGCACUCUGAACACAUGACCGCCUUACCCACAAAUAUUAGUAGUCUCCUUCCCCGACUCCGAGAACUUCUACUCUACUGCCGUAAUCUGCGUUGCCUCCCGAGCCUUCCCUCCAGUUUAUCAAACUUAUAUUUGCACUCUGAACACAUGACCGCCUUACCCACAUAUAUUAGUAGUCUCCUUCCCCGACUCCAAAUACUUGAACUCCGAUGCCCUAAUCUGCGUUGCCUCCCGAGCCUUCCCUCCAGUUUAAUAUCCUUAAGUUUGGUACAUUGCAAGUCAUUUGGUUCCCUGGGGGAUCUAUCGAAUUUGAAGAACCUAUCACAUCUUAUGAUUGCUCACUCUGUAAUCUCAGAGAUGCGAGGCCUUGAUGGUUCGGAGAACCUAGAUUUGCAGCUUUCGGAACUUCAACAGGUGUGGAUAUUACCUAAUCUAAGUAAUCUCAACCAACUAUGGCGUCUUUUUGUGUACUAUUGCGAUAAUCUGGUUGAGAUUCAAGGCAAACUACCACAAUGUUUAAAAUCAUUGAGUAUUCAUGACUGUGGAUCUUUACAGAAAUUGCCAUAUCUAUCAAGCUUGAAGGGACUGCAAAGGGUUGAAAUAAGGCGGUGCAGGAAAUUAAAUGUGGAGGAAAUUUCUUGUUUUGUUCGGAGAUGGCAGUCAAAUUUGUGGGUGACAAGACGAAUAAUAAGGAGAAGAUGACGAAUCUGGAUACGAAUUUGAAUAUGGAUAUGAGGGAGAAGACAGACGGAUAAAUGCACGUUGCUCUUGAAAGCUUCUUGAUCGCCGACCACAAAUUGUUCCCUUGCGUGUAAACUUUAAACGAAUUGAGAUGACUUCCUUGUACUGUAAACAAGUAGAUGGAAUGUGUGUCAGAAGGUCAUAUAAUAACUAUGGUUCUCAUCCUGGAACUUUACUGCAUAAUCAACUCAUUGUUGCAACUGUGAAGAAGACAGACACCCUGUAUUGAUAUGCUUAUGUUCAGUCUAUUUUUCUGGAAAGAUGUGCUUCUUAGUGGGAUUUGCAAAUAUUAUGGAGAAGUCAUAAAAUGAAGAAAGAGGAAUUUUACUUGGGUAGCGGAUCAAUAGUUGGUGCGGCAAAACUUCCACCUCCAAGGUAUCAUAAAUCGUCUUAUAGUUAAGGCUAAAUUUCAGUAAUAUCGUUACCUACUGCCCAGGACAUAUGAUAAGUCUCACUUGGGGUUAGAAAUCAUGUAAAUGAAACUCUUGUGUGAUCUCGAUUAUUGCCUACAUUUUCUAGAAAUGGUUAUGCCUCAGUGAUUAUCUAUAAUAGAAGCCCUUCCAUUCACCUCGGUUAUACUAAAGGAUUCUUUUAGGUUUUAAGAUUGACAAGAAGUGCUAAGGGAGAGAUCUCAAACUGCCUUGUUGCCGAUUUCUAAUGUAGCUGAGAGGAAUUAAAGUUUGAAAAACUUA